rnacentral:rRNA from 1 species
GCUCAGAACGAACGCUGGCGGCAGGCUUAACACAUGCAAGUCGAGCGCCUCGCAAGAGGAGCGGCAGACGGGUGAGUAACGCGUGGGAAUCUACCCAUCUCUACGGAACAACUCCGGGAAACUGGAGCUAAUACCGUAUACGUCCUUCGGGAGAAAGAUUUAUCGGAGAUGGAUGAGCCCGCGUUGGAUUAGCUAGUUGGUGGGGUAAUGGCCUACCAAGGCGACGAUCCAUAGCUGGUCUGAGAGGAUGAUCAGCCACAUUGGGACUGAGACACGGCCCAAACUCCUACGGGAGGCAGCAGUGGGGAAUAUUGGACAAUGGGCGAAAGCCUGAUCCAGCCAUGCCGCGUGAGUGAUGAAGGCCCUAGGGUUGUAAAGCUCUUUCAACGG